GUUUGUCUUGUGAUAGGCACUCCUCUUGCACCGGGGUGGGGAAGAAGUCGAGAACUACAUACAUAUAAAGGGUUGCAAACGAGAAAUCGAAUAAAAUAAGGAAAACAAGAUGGUAUGUGCAGUAUGUGAUUUACGAAGAUAUCACGGUAUGGCGGAAAUUUAAAAUAGGACGAGAAAUAUUUUCUCCGUCGUGCAUUUAUAAAUUCAUGAAUAUCGUAAUUAAAAUUACACGAAUAUCGCGUUAAACAUGUCGCUCGAUAUUCGACUAGAAUUCUAUUUUGUUUGGGGCAAUAGACACGCGAUAAUGAACACGCAAUUACCGAGGUAAUCAAUUCGUCGGUUUCUGAUCUCUCCUCGAUGGAAGAUGAUUGAAUUACUCUUACUUAGUGAUUGGCAAUUAACACUUUGCGGCUUGUGUUCGGCUACGACUUUGGAUUUAAAGGAAGAAUCAAAUUCAUCGUUUUCGAAAAACGAAGCGUAACAUUUCAACGGGAACGGCAUCCCAUUCGAGGCCAAACACUUCCGUGAAUCCUACACAAGAUUCGAAAAGGAAUGAAAAGCCUGGGGCAAACACACGAAUACGAUGUUAGAACGUUCCUGGAACGUUCUCGGGGAAACGGUGGACACAAAAGAAACACGAAACGGCACUCCACGAGAACUUACCCUUCGAGAUUGGAUUUCCGAUCAAAUCGAAUUCGUUGGAAGGUUUCUCCACGGUCUGAUUCGGCCAAAAGUUCAAGCCCAGAAACGACCAUUGGUGCGUGCUCCGUGGGAACGCGAUCAAAGUAUAAAUACCGAACGACAACCACGACGGAACACUCCACUGUGCGUCCAUGUGGGUCGGUACAACACUCGCGAGUAAGACCAUUAGCGUGGAAUAAACGGUGAAACAUCCGAUGAUCGUGUUGAACAUUGGGAACCACGCAUUCGUGCGCGGCACUCACGAGGAGAGGAUAUUUCAAAAGUACAGAACACCAAUGGAAGACGAUGACCGACUGACUGGCCGUGUAACAGCAUCUCGGGACAACACGUGUUAAGCCCCUUCUGCUACGGUUACCUGAUUACGGUUACCACGUUACCGCUACCGAUCGCUUUGAUCGCGAACAUCCUCUUACUCGAGAUCUCUCAUCUCAUCCUUUAGUAAUCGUGAUCUUGCAUUAACAAGCUUGGCAGCGUAUAUUAUAUGAUUUUGAAGAUAGAAUAGGCUGGGAUAAAAAUAAGUCGAAUACGUUUGAUGCAUGUGCAUCAUUUUUAAAAAUUUUCCCUGUUUUUGAUCAAAAAUUGAUUAGAAGUAGCUCAAAUUGAUUCUUCGAGUCAAUCUUCAAUCGAGACUUAUUGCCAGUGUAUUUCUAUGUAAUUAGACAUUCUUUCUUUAAUUUAAUUCAAAAAUUAUUUCUUGUUCGUACUUUUGUAACAAUUAGAUGUGUAAAAAUAUAAUAUUUCAUAGAUAGGAAUAUAAUUUUUUUAAAAAUAGUAUAUCAUUUAAAAUCAUUGGAAAAUAAAUAAAGAAAAUUUGUCCGUAUUUUAGAAGAUUAAGAACUUCAGUUUUGAAAUUGGACGCUAAAAGAAUAUAAAAGAUUUAAAUUUCACAAAGUUGUGACAUAGUUUCUCAACAUUCGUUUACAAAGGCAAACAUUUCAAAUAACUUUCCGAUAUUUUUGAUCCACCGAUAUAUCUCGGUUAAAAUAUUGGAAAACUUUAUCACAGGUAUCGCAGUUCGGUAAAUAAUAGAGUUUUAGAAUACGAUUUUUGCAUCUCUGCUAGAAUUUUUAUUAAAAAAAUUGAGAAUAUAAUGCGUACAUACAUCUAGUACAAUAUGCAACAUUUUUAUAAUAUAUUAUAUUAUUAUUGUAAUUUAAUUUUAGUAAAAAUUCUUUAAAUCUUUACAUUAAAUAAAAUAUUAUACUUU